rnacentral:misc_RNA from 1 species
UCUCCGUAGGUGAACCUGCGGAGGGAUCAUUACAGAGUUCAUGCCCUACCGGGUAGAUCUCCCACCCUAUGUUAUUAUUACUUUGUUGCUUUGGCGGGCCGUUAGGCUCCGGCCCGACUACCGGCCCCGGCUGGUAAGCGCCCGCCAGAGGACCCAAAACCCUGAAUAUUAGUGUCGUCUGAGUACUAUAUAAUAGUUAAAACUUUCAACAACGGAUCUCUAGGUUCUGGCUUCGAUGAAGAACGCAGC